GACGAACGCUGGCGGCGUGCUUAACACAUGCAAGUCGAACGGUAAGGCCCUUCGGGGUACACGAGUGGCGAACGGGUGAGUAACACGUGGGUGAUCUGCCCUGCACUUCGGGAUAAGCCUGGGAAACUGGGUCUAAUGCCGGAUAGGACUCCUGGCUUCAUGGUUGGGGGUGGAAAGCUUUUGCGGUGUGGGAUGGGCCCGCGGCCUAUCAGCUUGUUGGUGGGGUAAUGGCCUACCAAGGCGACGACGGGUAGCCGGCCUGAGAGGGUGACCGGUCACACUGGGACUGAGAUACGGCCCAGACUCCUACGGGAGGCAGCAGUGGGGAAUAUUGCACAAUGGGCGCAAGCCUGAUGCAGCGACGCCGCGUGAGGGAUGACGGCCUUCGGGUUGUAAACCUCUUUCAGCUAUGACGAAGCGCAAGUGACGGUAGUAGCAGAAGAAGGACCGGCCAACUACGUGCCAGCAGCCGCAGUAAGAC
rnacentral:rRNA from 1 species